rnacentral:rRNA from 1 species
AUACGGAGGGGACUAGCGUUGUUCGGAAUUACUGGGCGUAAAGCGUACGUAGGCGGAUCAGAAAGUAUGGGGUGAAAUCCCAGGGCUCAACCCUGGAACUGCCUCAUAAACUCCUGGUCUUGAGUUCGAGAGAGGUGAGUGGAAUUCCGAGUGUAGAGGUGAAAUUCGUAGAUAUUCGGAGGAACACCAGUGGCGAAGGCGGCUCACUGGCUCGAUACUGACGCUGAGGUACGAAAGUGUGGGGAGCAAACAGGAUUAGAUACCCUUGUAGUCC